rnacentral:rRNA from 1 species
CCUACGGGUGGCUGCAGUCGGGAAUAUUGCGCAAUGGAGGAAACUCUGACGCAGUGACGCCGCGUGCAGGAAGAAGGUUUUCGGAUUGUAAACUGCUUUAGAUAGGGAAGAAAAAAGACAGUUCUUGUAGAAUAAGCUCCGGCUAACUACGUGCCAGCAGCCGCGGUAAUACGUAGGGGGCAAGGGUUCUCCGGAUUUAUUGGGUGUAAAGGGUGCGUAGGCGGGGAAGCAAGUUAGUUGUGAAAUCCCUCAGCUUAACUGAGGAACUGCAACUAAAACUACUUCCCUUGAGUGCUGGAGAGGAAAGUGGAAUUCCUGGUGUAGCGGUGAAAUGCGUAGAUAUUAGGAGGAACACCAGUGGCGAAGGCGACUUUCUGGACAGUAACUGACGUUGAGGCACGAAAGUGUGGGGAGCAAACAGGAUUAGAUACCCCGGUAGUC